rnacentral:rRNA from 1 species
AUUGAACGCUGGCGGCAGGCCUAACACAUGCAAGUCGAGCGAGCGGCGGACGGGUGAGUAAUGUAUGGGGACUGCCCGAUAGAGGGGGCUAACUACUGGAAACGGUGGCUAAUACCGCAUACUAUCGGAUAACCCAUAUGGGUUUAGCUAGUAGUUGGGGUAAAGGCUAACCUAGGCAACGAUCUCUAGCUGGUCUGAGCGGAUGCUCAGGCACACUGGGACUGAGACACGGCCCAGACGCCUACGGAGGCAGCAGUGGGGAAUAUUGCACAAUGGGCGAAAGCCGGAUGCAGCAAUGCCGCGUGUAUGAAGAAGGCCUUAGGGUUGUAACGUACUUUCAGCGGGGAGGCGUUACCCGCAGAAGAAGCACCGGCUAACUCCGUGCCAGCAGCCGCGGUAAUUC